UACGAAGGGGGCUAGCGUUGCUCGGAAUCACUGGGCGUAAAGGGUGCGUAGGCGGGGCUUUAAGUCAGGGGGGAAAUCCUGGAGCUCAACUCCAGAACUGCCUUUGAUACUGAAGAUCUUGAGUUCGGGAGAGGUGAGUGGAACUGCGAGUGUAGAGGUGAAAUUCGUAGAUAUUCGCAAGAACACCAGUGGCGAAGGCGGCUCACUGGGCCGGUACUGACGCUGAGGUGCGAAAGCGUGGGGAGCAAACAGG
rnacentral:rRNA from 1 species